AGUGGGUGCUCUGCAGUGUUUGCCAAGCCGUUAUUGAGAAGGGGUAUCCAAUGGUGUGCAUACCCCUUCGAAAGGGCUUACUAGUCACGUGAGGUGCUACUAGAGAGACAAGUUAAGGUUUUGAAUGAGAGAUGAGAGUUGGAAGAAUAUUCUAGUGGAAAAAAAGAAUAUGAGAAACAGUUCAGAAACAUGGAAUCCCUGCUCAACUUCCUCUGCUCACUGCCCCCGGCCCCUUCAUCCAGGGAUGUUGAGGACAGAUUUCUCUACAGGCAGCAUCUGAAGUCUCUCUGAAAACACAAGAAAAGAAUAUACAGAGAACCUCCCAGAAACUGCAAGUCCCAUGGAAAUUAAGGCCAUUAGUGUUUUGUAUAAUAAACAGUCACCUUUGCAUUUAAAAUGGACUAUUUUGUUUUGGAUAUAGGUGGAGUAGGAUAUAAAUGUAUACUUCCUUGCUUCUUAGUUUAUCAUAGGAAUCUAAGAAAAGAACUAAGGAUAAGAGAAAAGGAGG
rnacentral:lncRNA from 1 species